ncrna:unclassified sequences Mu-gpT-DE RNA
CCCUGACAGUUGCAUUGGGCGACUGACUUAACCCUGACAGGAGAUUCUCAUG